CGCUCCGGUGUCACGGGCGGCUUUCCCCCAAGGAACAACCGGGUGAAAGAAACCCGCCAAGCCCCACCCCUCCCGCCCGCGGCGCCGACUCACCCGCCAGGGUGAAUAUGCCCAACUCGGCUGGAUUUAGGGCGGCUUGCCUGCCUUACGCUCAGCGCAACACCACCGCAGACAUGCGACGGCCCUCGCCGGGAGUAGCGAUCCCGUGCGAGGGCCUGACCACCGAGGAAGGCACAAACUUCCUG
rnacentral:ncRNA from 1 species